rnacentral:rRNA from 1 species
AUUGAACGCUGGCGGCAUGCCUUACACAUGCAAGUCGAACGGUAACGGGCCUUCGGGUGCCGACGAGUGGCGAACGGGUGAGUAAUACAUCGGAACGUGCCCGAUCGUGGGGGAUAACGAGGCGAAAGCUUUGCUAAUACCGCAUACGAUCUACGGAUGAAAGCAGGGGACCGCAAGGCCUUGCGCGGACGGAGCGGCCGAUGGCAGAUUAGGUAGUUGGUGGGAUAAAAGCUUACCAAGCCGACGAUCUGUAGCUGGUCUGAGAGGAUGAUCAGCCACACUGGGACUGAGACACGGCCCAGACUCCUACGGGAGGCAGCAGUGGGGAAUUUUGGACAAUGGGCGCAAGCCUGAUCCAGCCAUGCCGUGUGCAGGAUGAAGGCCUUCGGGUUGUAAACUGCUUUUGUACGGAACGAAAAGCCUUCUUUUAAUACAGGAGGGUCAUGACGGUACCGUAAGAAUAAGCACCGGCUAACUACGUG